rnacentral:rRNA from 1 species
GACGAACGCUGGCGGCGUGCCUAACACAUGCAAGUCGAGCGAAUGAAGUUCCUUCGGGAAUGGAUUUAGCGGCGGACGGGUGAGUAACACGUGGGCAAUCUGCCUCAUAGAGGGGAAUAGCCUUCCGAAAGGGAGAUUAAUACCGCAUAAGAUUGUAGUAUCGCAUGAUACAGCAAUUAAAGGAGCAAUCCGCUAUGAGAUGGGCCCGCGGCGCAUUAGCUAGUUGGUGAGGUAACGGCUCACCAAGGCGACGAUGCGUAGCCGACCUGAGAGGGUGAUCGGCCACAUUGGGACUGAGACACGGCCCAGACUCCUACGGGAGGCAGCAGUGGGGAAUAUUGCACAAUGGGGGAAACCCUGAUGCAGCAACGCCGCGUGAGUGAUGACGGCCUUCGGGUUGUAAAGCUCUGUCUUCAGGGACGAUAAUGACGGUACCUGAGGAGGAAGCCACGGCUAACUACGUGCCAGCCGCCGCCGUAAUAC